GGUAAGAGAGUAAGGAAUGGAGGAAAAGAAGAUGUGAUCAUUUUUUUCUUCUGAAGAUGAGAGAUAUGUUUUUCAUUUUAAUAAUGAGAGAGAGAUAUUUUUAUUUAUGAGAGUGAGACAGCUAUCAAGAAGUAGCAGAGGGAGGGCGGUUUGAUAUGUAGGGAGUUGAGAGAGUUGACAUUUGCGUGAGACUUGCAAUAGACUACCAAUUUUAGUAAUCAUAUUUGAA
rnacentral:lncRNA from 1 species